CCUACGGGAGGCAGCAGUGGGGAAUAUUGGACAAUGGGGGGAACCCUGAUCCAGCCAUGCCGCGUGUGUGAAGAAGGCCUUUUGGUUGUAAAGCACUUUAAGCGAGGAGGAGGCUACCGAGAUUAAUACUCUUGGAUAGUGGACGUUACUCGCAGAAUAAGCACCGGCUAACUCUGUGCCAGCAGCCGCGGUAAUACAGAGGGUGCAAGCGUUAAUCGGAUUUACUGGGCGUAAAGCGCGCGUAGGUGGCCAAUUAAGUCAAAUGUGAAAUCCCCGAGCUUAACCUGGGAAUUGCAUUCGAUACUGGUUGGCUAGAGUAUGGGAGAGGAUGGUAGAAUUCCAGGUGUAGCGGUGAAAUGCGUAGAGAUCUGGAGGAAUACCGAUGGCGAAGGCAGCCAUCUGGCCUAAUACUGGCACUGAGGUGCGAAAGCAUGGGGAGCAAACAGGAUUAGAUACCCUGGUAGUCCAUGCCGUAAACGAUGUCUACUAGCCGUUGGGGCCUUUGAGGCUUUAGUGGCGCAGCUAACGCGAUAAGUAGACCGCCUGGGGAGUACGGUCGCAAGACUAAAACUCAAAUGAAUUUGACGGGGGCCCGCACAAGCGGUGGGAGCAUGUGGUUUAAUUCGAUGCAACGCGAAGAACCUUACCUGGUCUUGACAUAGUAGAACUUUUCAGAGAUGAUGGUGCUUCGGGACUUACAUACAGGUGCUGCAUGCCUGUCGGUCAGCUCGUGUCGUGAGAUGCUGGCUAGGUUCCCGCACCGAGCCGCAAUCAUUCGUAAUUGGCGA
rnacentral:rRNA from 1 species